UUAGGCGUAAUGGUGCUCUCUUCACUCCUGUUGUAAAAGGAGGUGAUGGUAGGCCACGGCUGCUAGUUCAUGAAUACCCCUGGCUGCGCAGGAUUAAAGUAAUAAAGUUUGCGCAGGCUAAGGGUUUGCAUGACCUGGGAGACGUGGUUACCUUCUUCUUUUUUAUAUUGGAGUGAAGGGAGCUCUGUUGUCU
rnacentral:pre_miRNA from 9 species